rnacentral:rRNA from 2 species
CGUAUCACUUAAAGCGAUUCAGCGGGUUACGAUUGACGGAGCGAAGCGACGUCAAAGCGUAUACAAAGUCGAGUCGGUUUAAGGAUACGUUCGUUGGGUAGGGGAGCGUUCUGUAAGCCUGUGAAGGUGGCCUGUGAGGGUUGCUGGAGGUAUCAGAAGUGCGAAUGCUGACAUAAGUAACGAUAAAGCGGGUGAAAAGCCCGCUCGCCGGAAGACCAAGGGUUCCUGUCCAACGUUAAUCGGGGCAGGGUGAGUCGACCCCUAAGGCGAGGCCGAAAGGCGUAGUCGAUGGGAAACGGGUUAAUAUUCCCGUACUUGGUGUUACUGCGAAGGGGGGACGGAGAAGGCUAUGUUGGCCGGGCGACGGUUGUCCCGGUUUAAGCGUGUAGGUGUGUGUUCCAGGUAAAUCCGGUUCACUUUAACACUGAGGCGUGAUGACGAGGCACUACGGUGCUGAAGCAACAAAUGCCCUGCUUCCAGGAAAAGCCUCUAAGCAUCAGGUAACAUCAAAUCGUACCCCAAACCGACACAGGUGGUCAGGUAGAGAAUACCAAGGCGCUUGAGAGAACUCGGGUGAAGGAACUAGGCAAAAUGGUGCCGUAACUUCGGGAGAAGGCACGCUGACACGUAGGUGAAGUGAUUUACUCAUGGAGCUGAAGUCAGUCGAAGAUACCAGCUGGCUGCAACUGUUUAUUAAAAACACAGCACUGUGCAAACACGAAAGUGGACGUAUACGGUGUGACGCCUGCCCGGUGCCGGAAGGUUAAUUGAUGGGGUCAGCGCAAGCGAAGCUCCUGAUCGAAGCCCCGGUAAACGGCGGCCGUAACUAUAACGGUCCUAAGGUAGCGAAAUUCCUUGUCGGGUAAGUUCCGACCUGCACGAAUGGCGUAAUGAUGGCCAGGCUGUCUCCACCCGAGACUCAGUGAAAUUGAACUCGCUGUGAAGAUGCAGUGUACCCGCGGCAAGACGGAAAGACCCCGUGAACCUUUACUAUAGCUUGACACUGAACAUUGAGCCUUGAUGUGUAG